AUUGAACGCUGGCGGCAGGCCUAACACAUGCAAGUCGAGCGGGGUUUUCGGACCUAGCGGCGGACGGGUGAGUAAUGCGUAGGAAGCUGCCCGAUAGAGGGGGAUACCAGUUGGAAACGACUGUUAAUACCGCAUAAUGUCUACGGACCAAAGUGUGGGACCUUCGGGCCACAUGCUAUCGGAUGCGCCUACGUGGGAUUAGCUAGUUGGUGAGGUAAUGGCUCACCAAGGCGACGAUCUCUAGCUGGUUUGAGAGGAUGAUCAGCCACACUGGAACUGAGACACGGUCCGGAAUCCUAAGGGAGGCAGCAGUGGGGAAUAUUGGACAAUGGGCGCAAGCCUGAUCCAGCCAUGCCGCGUGUGUGAAGAAGGCCUUCGGGUUGUAAAGCACUUUCAGCGAGGAGGAAGGGUGGUGUGUUAAUAGCACAUCAUUUUGACGUUACUCGCAGAAGAAGCACCGGCUAACUCUGUGCCAGCCGCCGCAGUAAGAC
rnacentral:rRNA from 1 species